rnacentral:rRNA from 1 species
UGCCGCGUGUGUGAAGAAGGCCCUCGGGUUGUAAAGCACUUUCAGCGAGGAAGAACGCCUAGCGGUUAAUACCCGCUAGGAAAGACAUCACUCGCAGAAGAAGCACCGGCUAACUCCGUGCCAGCAGCCGCGGUAAUACGGAGGGUGCAAGCGUUAAUCGGAAUUACUGGGCGUAAAGCGCGCGUAGGUGGCUUGAUAAGCCGGUUGUGAAAGCCCCGGGCUCAACCUGGGAACGGCAUCCGGAACUGUCAAGCUAGAGUGCAGGAGAGGAAGGUAGAAUUCCCGGUGUAGCGGUGAAAUGCGUAGAGAUCGGGAGGAAUACCAGUGGCGAAGGCGGCCUUCUGGACUGACACUGACACUGAGGUGCGAAAGCGUGGGUAGCAAACAGGAUUAGAUACCCUGGUAGUCCACGCCGUAAACGAUGUCGACCAGCCGUUGGGUGCCUAGCGCACUUUGUGGCGAAGUUAACGCGAUAAGUCGACCGCCUGGGGAGUACGGCCGCAAGGUUAAAACUCA